rnacentral:rRNA from 1 species
UACGUAGGGUGCGAGCGUUGUCCGGAAUUACUGGGCGUAAAGAGCUCGUAGGCGGCUUGUCGCGUCGGAUGUGAAAGCCCGGGGCUUAACUCCGGGCCUGCAGUGGGUACGGGCAGACUAGAGUGCGGUAGGGGAGACUGGAAUUCCUGGUGUAGCGGUGAAAUGCGCAGAUAUCAGGAGGAACACCGGUGGCGAAGGCGGGUCUCUGGGCCGAUACUGACGCUGAGGAGCGAAAGCGUGGGGAGCGAACAGG